rnacentral:rRNA from 1 species
AGCGAACGCUGGCGGCAGGCUUAACACAUGCAAGUCGAGCGGGCGUAGCAGUACGUCAGCGGCAGACGGGUGAGUAAUGCGUGGGAACGUACCUUUUGGUUCGGAACAACACAGGGAAACUUGUGCUAAUACCGGAUAAGCCCUUACGGGGAAAGAUUUAUCGCCGAAAGAUCGGCCCGCGUCUGAUUAGCUAGUUGGUGAGGUAACGGCUCACCAAGGCGACGAUCAGUAGCUGGUCUGAGAGGAUGAUCAGCCACAUUGGGACUGAGACACGGCCCAAACUCCUACGGGAGGCAGCAGUGGGAAUAUUGGACAAUGGGCGCAAGCCUGAUCCAGCCAUGCCGCGUGAGUGAUGAAGGCCCUAGGGUUGUAAAGCUCUUUUGUGCGGGAAGAUAAUGACGGUACCGCAAGAAUAAGCCCCGGCUAACUUCGUGCCAGCAGCCGCGGUAAU